GAGAUUCUCAAGAUCAUGUCCUGUGUGUUACAGAGAGAUCUCGACAUCAGAGGGCAACUGGAAACUCUGACAUCACGUCUCAAUGGCAAGAUAAGGAAUGUGACGUGUGUGAUGCAGGAACUUGGCUAUUUGGAUGAAAAUUUGGAGCCCAAUUUUGAGAAGAUUUCAGAAAGAAUCAACAGACUACCAAUUGGAGAAGAACUGAAGAAAGACAUGGUUGAUGGUGUCCAGUUCUGCAAACAGUUUGCUCAAUGUGUUCCUGAGACGGGAAAGGAUAAGUUUCAGCUUUCUCGGGAACUGGUGAAACCCAUGUUUUUCUUCAGAUGCUAUAAGCAUAAGAAACUUGAAGCUUGCAUCAUGAAGGAUGUGAGGGAGAGGUACACCCCUGGAGACGAUAUGGCAGCACCUGACGAGGAUAAUAUCGGAAGUGGGGAAUUGCGAUCUUUGUCUUGGGCCAGCAGUAAGCCUGAUUAUGAUGACAUGGCUACAGCUGCAUAUGAGUUUCUUUAUGGUGGGGAAAAUUCUGAUCUUGAAAACAUCAUGUAGAAACAUCAAAUUCAAUAUUUACUGACUGUGUUACUAAGGAUAUGAUGAAAGAAACAAAGUUUUCAUAUUACUGGACUUGAAACAAUUUCUACAUUUCACAUGUAUGAUGACAGUUUCCAGGUUAUAUAAUGACAAGAGAAAUGUGACAACCAAAUAUUUUCAAAGUUAGCGUCAUUUAGAAACUUCAAGCAUAGUGAAGAUGGUCAACAUCAUGGUGACAUAAAACAUUUCAUCUCUUACUCUGCUACGGACCAACAAUUGAAAUAUAGCCAUUAGUCUUCAAGUAACCGGUAUUAUGUAAGAGUGAACCUGACAGUAGCAGGCUCUAGGCUUCCUUCUGGGUAUUUGGCUGUAUUGGGGAAUAACCCAUUGACACAGUAGUACUAGAUGUGGGAAUAUACUGAUAUGUAGUAGAUAUCAGAUCACAGACCUUGUUCGUGAGACAAUUAACAAAUUCUCACAGGAUCUGUAGUUUCUGUGACAAACUGUCAGCAAUGAAAUGCCAGCAGAAUUAUGCCACUGUCUCACGAAUGAACGUCCAGUUUUUAUACUUUACUUUAUGUACUUUCUAGUUUUGUGCAAUAAAAAAUGUAAAACAGUC